rnacentral:rRNA from 1 species
UACAGAGGUCUCAAGCGUUUUUCGGAUUCAUUGGGCGUAAAGGGUGCGUAGGUGGUUGGGUAAGUCAAAUGUGAAAUCCCGGAGCUCAACUCCGGAACUGCAUUCGAUACUGCCCGGCUAGAGGAUUGGAGAGGAGACUGGAAUUCACGGUGUAGCAGUGAAAUGCGUAGAUAUCGUGAGGAACACCCGUGGCGAAGGCGGGUCUCUGGACAAUUCCUGACACUGAGGCGCGAAGGCCAGGGGAGCAAGCAGG